rnacentral:rRNA from 1 species
GACGAACGCUGGCGGCGUGCCUAACACAUGCAAGUCGAGCGAGUUGAUUCUCUUCGGAGAUGAAGCUAGCGGCGGACGGGUGAGUAACACGUGGGCAACCUGCCUCAUAGAGGGGAAUAGCCCCGGGAAACUGGGAUUAAUACCGGAUGUGAUAAUAAGUUUGGAUAUUUAUUAUUAAAGUUACGGCGCUUGGAGAUGGGUGUGCGUCUGAUUAGCUAGUCGGUGAGGUAACGGCUCACCAAGGCGACGAUCAGUAGGGGGCGUGAGAGCGUGACCCCCCACACGGGUACUGAGACACGGCCCAGACUCCUACGGGAGGCAGCAGUGGGGAAUCUUGCGCAAUGGGCGAAAGCCUGACGCAGCCAUGCCGCGUGAAUGAUGAAGGUCUUAGGAUUGUAAAAUUCUUUUACCAGGGACGAUAAUGACGGUACCUGGAGAAAAAGCCCCGGCUAACUUCGUGCCAGCAGCCGCAGUAAGAC